UAGGAUUUUUUUAGGAUUUGAUUAGGAUUUGACUAGGAUUUGACUAGGAUUUAAGCACGAUUUAUUUAGGAUUUGAUAAAGAUUUGAUAAGAAAUUAUUUAAGAUUUUAUUAGAUACUGGUUAGGAUUAAGAUUUAUUUAGGAUGAAGAUUUGAUUAGGUCUUGGUUAGGAUUAAGAUUUGGUUAGAAUGAAGAUUUAAUUAAAAUUACGAUUGAAUUAAGAUUAGGAUUUGAUUUGGUUUAGGAUUUAGUUUGAAUUUCUUUAUGAAUUUUUUAGGAUUUUUUUAGGUUUUGUUAGGAUUUUCUUAUCUUUUUUUUAAAAUUUAUUUUAAAAAUAAAAUAAAAUAAAAUAUUAAAAAUAAUUAGAUU
rnacentral:lncRNA from 1 species